rnacentral:rRNA from 1 species
AUGGCUCAGGAUGAACGCUGGCGGCGUGCUUAACACAUGCAAGUCGAACGAAGCGAUUUCUGCUGCAAGAAAUUGACUUAGUGGCGGACGGGUGAGUAACGCGUGGGUAACCUGCCUCAUACAGGGGGAUAACAGUUGGAAACGACUGCUAAAACCGCAUAACCCGCUAGUGUCGCAUGACACGGACGGAAAAUAUUUAUAGGUAUGAGAUGGGCCCGCGUCUGAUUAGCUAGUUGGUAAGGUAAUGGCUUACCAAGGCGACGAUCAGUAGCCGACUUGAGAGAGUGAUCGGCCACAUUGGGACUGAGACACGGCCCAAACUCCUACGGGAGGCAGCAGUGGGGAAUAUUGGACAAUGGGGGAAACCCUGAUCCAGCGACGCCCGCGUGAGUGAAGAAGUAUUUCGGUAUGUAAAGCUCUAUCAGCAGGGAAGAUAAUGACAGUACCUGACUAAGAAGCCCCGGCUAACUACGUGCCAGCAGCUGC